ensembl:misc_RNA Gm55790 predicted gene, 23221
ACCAUUCGUAGUCAAGGGUAUACAAGUAGUGGUGUCCCCAGCUAGAACCUCCAAAGAUAUUCUCAGGAAGAGAGGGAGAAGACAGGUAUACAC